CGCUCAAUUUAUGACAAUGUGCAAACGAUUGGGAGUGAGAGCAAACAUUUGAAAAAUUGUGGACACAUUCUGAUCUUUUGGCAGAAAAAAUCUCUUCAUAAAUGAUUUUUGAAUGGUACUUUUGUAUUAACAUGUUCAAGAAGGAGCCAGUAAAACCAAUACACAGGUUUUUGAACUUUUAAACAUUACUGUGUAAAC
ensembl:ncRNA H14N18.5 ncRNA